rnacentral:rRNA from 1 species
ACUCCUACGGGAGGCAGCAGUGAGGAAUAUUGGUCAAUGGACGCAAGUCUGAACCAGCCAUGCCGCGUGCAGGAUGACGGCUCUAUGAGUUGUAAACUGCUUUUGUACGAGGGUAAACGCAGAUACGUGUAUCUGUCUGAAAGUAUCGUACGAAUAAGGAUCGGCUAACUCCGUGCCAGCAGCCGCGGUAAUACGGAGGAUUCAAGCGUUAUCCGGAUUUAUUGGGUUUAAAGGGUGCGUAGGCGGUUUGAUAAGUUAGAGGUGAAAUUUCGGGGCUCAACCCUGAACGUGCCUCUAAUACUGUUGAGCUAGAGAGUAGUUGCGGUAGGCGGAAUGUAUGGUGUAGCGGUGAAAUGCUUAGAGAUCAUACAGAACACCGAUUGCGAAGGCAGCUUACCAAACUAUAUCUGACGUUGAGGCACGAAAGCGUGGGGAGCAAACAGGAUUAGAUACCCUGGUAGUCCACGCAGUAAACGAUGAUAACUCGUUGUCGGCGAUACACAGUCGGUGACUAAGCGAAAGCGAUAAGUUAUCCACCUGGGGAGUACGUUCGCAAGAAUGAAACUCAAAGGAAUUGACGGGGGCCCGCACAAGCGGAGGAACAUGUGGUUUAAUUCGAUGAUACGCGAGGAACCUUACCCGGGCUUGAAAGUUAGCGACGAUUCUUGAAAGAGGAUUUCCCUUCGGGGCGCGAAACUAGGUGCUGCAUGGUUGUCGUCAGCUCGUGCCGUGAGGUGUCGGGUUAAGUCCCAUAACGAGCGCAACCCCUACCGUUAGUUGCCAUCAGGUCAAGCUGGGCACUCUGGCGGGACUGCCGGUGUAAGCCGAGAGGAAGGUGGGGAUGACGUCAAAUCAGCACGGCCCUUACGUCCGGGGCUACACACGUGUUACAAUGGUAGGUACAGAGGGUAGCUACCCAGCGAUGGGAUGCGAAUCUCGAAAGCCUAUCUCAGUUCGGAUUGGAGGCUGAAACCCGCCUCCAUGAAGUUGGAUUCGCUAGUAAUCGCGCAUCAGCCAUGGCGCGGUGAAUACGUUCCC